rnacentral:rRNA from 1 species
UACGUAGGGGGCUAGCGUUGUCCGGAUUUAUUGGGCGUAAAGAGCGUGUAGGCGGCCUGGUAGGUCUGCUGUGAAAACUCGAGGCUCAACCUCGAGAUGUCGGCGGAAACCAUCUGGCUAGAGUCCGGAAGAGGAGAGUGGAAUUCCUGGUGUAGCGGUGAAAUGCAUUGAGAUCGGAAAGAACACCAACGGCGAAAGCACUCUGCUGGGCCGACACUGACACUGAGAGACGAAAGCUAGGGGAGCAAAUGGG